rnacentral:miRNA from 1 species
AUGUUGGAAUGACAUGCAGCU